GUGGGGAAUAUUGGACAAUGGGCGAAAGCCUGAUCCAGCCAUGCCGCGUGUGUGAAGAAGGUCUUCGGAUUGUAAAGCACUUUAAGUUGGGAGGAAGGGCAUUAACCUAAUACGUUAGUGUUUUGACGUUACCGACAGAAUAAGCACCGGCUAACUUCGUGCCAGCAGCCGCGGUAAUACGAAGGGUGCAAGCGUUAAUCGGAAUUACUGGGCGUAAAGCGCGCGUAGGUGGUUCGUUAAGUUGGAUGUGAAAGCCCCGGGCUCAACCUGGGAACUGCAUACAAAACUGGCGAGCUAGAGUACGGUAGAGGGUGGUGGAAUUUCCUGUGUAGCGGUGAAAUGCGUAGAUAUAGGAAGGAACACCAGUGGCGAAGGCGACCACCUGGACUGAUACUGACACUGAGGUGCGAAAGCGUGGGGAGCAAACUGGAUUAGAAACCCGUGUAGUCC
rnacentral:rRNA from 1 species